rnacentral:tRNA from 1 species
GGAGCCCCAAGGGGUCAUCUCUGGUGAGACAAUCCGUGGUUGACGCUCGGAUUGAGGGGUUCGAUUCCCCUUGGCUCCA